GGAGGGUUGAGAGUGAAGGAACAGGGUGUGAGAUAAACUGGGGAGUACUCGGGCAGGGGCCAGGCUGCCUGGAGGAUAUGGGAGCGUGUAUGGCUCUGGGGCUGUGGCACUGCAAAGUGGAAGGCCCAGCUGCCUUUUUGUGACAGACGGAGGAGGCGUUUUCAAAGUGAUGACAAUGUUUCUGAACAGGAAAGUGGGUCUCUUCUUCUUCCCCAACAGUCUUAGAGCAUCUAAAAAUAAAGCAGGCAUCAAGAGAGCAUCCCAGCAGUGCCAUCACAACACAGGGCUCGAAUGUGGACAGGAGGAGGACCUAAGUGGACCCGGAGGCUGAGCUGGCCUCGCAGCACUGGUGGUGGGGGAGGGCUGAUGGUCAGGACUCUGGGUCUUUGGCACUGCUGCCUGGGCUGUGGCCCUCAGUCUGCCCAUCUGUGAAAUGAGGGGGAGCUGGUCCUGACUACCUCCCAGGGACCCUGUGAAAAGCCGCUCUGAACUCCUUGCCAGAGAGGAGGUUUGCCGGUGCCACAAUCCAGGUCUGUGGGUUUCCCUAUCAAGCUGGUCUUUCUGUAAUAGGCAGUGAGACAAAGGAUUUUGGGGUCCCCACUAUGAUGUAAACCCUGUGCUGGGUGGGGUAGGGGUUCAGAAGCAGAAGUUGUGUUUUCAGCAUCAGGGAGCUCUAGUGGAGAGACAAGAUUCGUGCAUGAAAUAAUUACGACUGUUGUAGAGAAAAGAAAAGCCUGUAGGUCUCCCUUCCUCCCUCCUUCUCUCUGUCUACCUCAGCAUUUCUGGGGUUCACUCUGCUCUGGGUACUGUGUAAAGGACUCCACAGCCAUCAACUUCCCUUCAUCCUUGCUGCAUCUUUGAAAGAGCUGAGAUUUCUUUACAUCACAGUGGUUCAAGGAGAAAAACACAGCCAGAUCCUUCCUCAUCUCAACAUAAAUUAAACCCAGAGGCAGUCAGCGCCACAGUCCACACUCGUAACUGUUACACUCACCUGGAAAUAAAAGUAUUUUUGUGCGGGGACUGCAAGGACUAAGCCCGGCCGCACUCCGAGUCUCUCCUCCUCACAGAUAGGGGCUGAGGCUCAGAGAGGGCAAGUGACCUGCCCAAAGUCACACAGCCAUGACUCAUUGCUCAGGUGAGGAAACUGAGGCUCAGAGAGGGUCCGUGGCAUGUCCAAGGUCACUCCGCUGAGGCAAGGAACUAUGUGAGCCACUCCAGUGUUCCCAGCCCCAAGGCCAGGCACAGUGGACAUUUAUUGCUGAAUGAAUGAAUCAAGAGAGAGGAUCAGAAAGCUGCAGAGGAUGAUAGAUCUGCAAAAUUCUGCCUGGGUGAGGCCCAGGCUCAGCUUCCAGAACAGCUCCAUCUGUCUCCCACUCACUGAGAUUGAACUAAUGUCCCACAGUUGCACAGACCUGAAAUUGAGCUAUGUGAUCUUGGUUACCUGCCCCUCUGCUGGAGAUUCUGCAUGUCUGAGGUGCCAGCCAUUGUCAGAAACUGGGCUAUGUUCUCUCCUUUCAUCGUGCCAUUUCAUUCUCACCCCAAAAUGAAAACACACAAAAAAAUCACUUUCUUCCCAAAGAGAAUCCUGUCAUUCACCAUAUGGGUUGCUACAAUGAUCCCCAUUUUACAGAUAGAUGAACUGAGGCCCUCGGCAGUGAAGUAACUUGCUAAGAUCAAACCACAGCUGGUAAGCAGUGGAAGCCAAUUCAAACCCUGGUCAGUCCUUUUGGCAAUACCGAGCUGCUUGGGGCUCUCGAGCUCACGGACCCUUAGGGUUCUCCUGAUACACCUCC